rnacentral:tRNA from 1 species
GGGCCGGUGGCGGAACGGCAGACGCUGCGGACUUAAAAUCCGCUCCCUCUAAGGGGGUGAGGGUCCGAAGGCCUCCCGCCCUACCA